rnacentral:lncRNA from 1 species
AAUUGGAUCCUUAUCUAACUUGAAAGAGUUUCAAGUGGAGAAGGAGUCCUCCAUGUCCACUAAAAGUCAUGGCAAAAAAUAAAUAUGGCCCACCUUAAAUUGGCAUGCGAAGUGGAGAGUCCUUCUAAAUGAAAGCUCUUAACUAUUACACAUUACCUUAAAUUCCCGAUCAGUUCUCCUAUAAUUUGACACCAAAUUUAAUUCAUAUUUUUAUGGCAUGUAGAAGACUAAGAGUUCUUUUACUUUAAGUAUUUAAAUUACUAAAACUUCACUCAGUGAAUUUAUUUGGCAUGUGAGAAGUUGGAGUGCCAAAGGUUGGUGCCCCAUGGUCUCAUGUGACGUCCCUUGGUCCCCUAUUUAUAGGGGAUGCCCUAGAUGAUUUUUUAUGGUGAUUUUUAGCUGAGACCAAGAGGAGAGACAUGGUAAAUAUAAUAAAAAAUUUAAAAAAAAUUUGAGAAAAAAUGAGAGAAUUUUGAGUGGCAAAAGUUGCUACUAUGGUGGUGAGAUUUUCAGCAAGUGUUGCUUGAGUACCCUAGGAUUUAGUUUUUUUCAUGUGUUGGAGCCAAAAAUCAAAUCUUAGGUUGUAUGAUAUCUGAAGAGUAUCUUCUUGGUGUCAUUCUGGUGGUGAGAUCAAAAGCAUGUGGGCUUUGGUACGAUCGUGACAUAAGUUUGAAGCUGAUAGUGUUCUUGAGAAGAUAAGGAUGCGGCAGCGCACCAGUUGGGAAGGACUUUGGCUAACUUUCACGUGGAUCACCAUUGGAGGACUUCUACCUUAGGAUCUUGUGGAGAACACCAACAUGCCACUUUUCAUAUUGGUUAAAGUAUAAUUUUCUAUCUCUUUGUAUGCUUGAAUUUGCUUUGAUCGUGAUCGGCAAAGUGACUCGGGGUUUUGGGUUCGGCUUGAUAGUUUUAUUUGAUAAGGCUAUUGAUUUGCUUAUUUUAAAAUUUUUGAAAAUUAUUUUUUACUGCGUGGCCAGAACCCAACAUCGACAUGAAUACACCUAUGAUGUAGAUAUUCUACCAUCAACAUUAGACAUAAAAUCUGAAUUAGUGUAUCCUUCCUCUCCUAGCUUUGAUCCUUUUCCAAAUUAAGAAUAAAUCCUUAGUUCUCAAGUACUCAAAGAUGUUUUCACAACAAUCUAGUGCUCUCAGUCUGGAUACAACUGAUAUCUACUUGUGACAUUCACAGUAUUAACUAUAUUAGUUCAAGUAUAUUACAUGGCAUAUACGUAUGUCCGAGAGAUAGCAGACCCCUCUCUAAGAUUUCUAUGCUGAACCCUUUCAGCAUCUAAUCUCUGUACUUUAUCUGUAAACAUACAAGCAUUCAAUUAUAUCUAUCUCUAUAGAUCUUAAGGAUGCUUACUUUAUAUUUUUCAUGAAAAAUUCUAUAUACAAUCAUAUUUUAACCGAUGUCAGAAUUGGACACUCUCACUGACCCUUUUGAAACCACAUAAUUCCUUAUUUCUGAUCAAACAAUUUGAUCAUAUCAUCGAAAUAAAUGUUCCAACUCCAAAAGUAUUGCAAACUUUAUGAUCUCCUAUCACAAGAAGUAAAAUCCAUAAGCUAUUCUAUACAGAAAUCUUCAAAAAAUAUCUAGUUAGGAAAGCUAAUUCAUAUCUCUUUCUUGAAGUCGAUGUCUAACAUCGCCUCAUUAUAGGUUUUAGGAUCAUCUCUAUGUUCCUUAUCUUCUAUGAGAAAUAUUUUUUUCUACAUUCUCUAUUAAGCAUACCCAAGUACCUUUCAAGAGGAUUGGAGAUCCUACCAUAUGUAUGAGGUGGAGGAGGAAUAUAUACACAUUGGCUCAUGAUGAAUAGGUUCUUAAGGUCUCAUGGCUUGCUGCUCUUCAGAGACACUCUCUUCGAGCUAGACUUUUCUCCCACUGCUUCAUCUUGGUUAAACAAUUUUUCAAGAAGAUAGUAUGUCAGCUCACAAUCAUAUUAUGAUUCUUUCCGAAAGUAGUAUCCCAAACUCUUUUAGGAUGAGCUUUAUAGAUCUAUCCUCUAACACAUCCACCUGCUAUCCUUGACACAGGCUAAACAUUCUUGGAUCUCUAAUAACUAAGAUUUAGUUCUCACCAUACCAUAUCUCAUACAGUAUGAUAGGAACAAAUUUAGAGAAAACUUAAUUCUAUAAAAAUAAAGUAUGUCCCUAAAAAAAUAAAAUAAAUUAAUAAAUUCUAUUAUGGAUCGGACCAUAUCUCAUAUAGUCCCACAACUCUUCUUAAUUAUCUCGUUGAGCUGAGAUAUACUAAGAGAGGUCCAAUAUUAAAUUAUGUCAUUUUAUGAGAUAAUUAAAAAAUUUUCUUCUUUGGUAUUGCAUCCUCGAUCUGAUUGAAGUACCUUUAGAAAUUUUUUGAUUUAUUUCUCCACUUUACAUCUGAAAUCUUUGAACCUUUCAAAAAUUUCAGAUUUGUAUCUCAUAUACUUAACCAUACCAUGACUAAUCAUCGGUAAAGGUAACGAAGUAGAGACAACUCCUUUGUUAGCAUAUCAAAUAGGCUAUACUCAUCAAUUGUGUAUUAGGAUAAGUAUCUCAGUGGUCUUUUUUCUCUUAUCCCACAAGAGUAGUUUGGUUAUAUUUUCUCAAAGAGAUGAUACACAAACUAGACAUGACUCAACAGUCAAUGAGUCCAAAAGCCCAUAUUUCUCUAGUUUGUUAAUCAUUUUUUUUCCUAUAUGACUUAGCCUAAGGCCCCACAUAUACUCAAGGUUUAUCUCAAUUCUAGAUCUCUCAGAUCUAGUGGCAUUCACUGCUUACUCAAUUAAGUUCAUAUAUAUAUCACCAUGCAAAUGAUAGAGACUGUCUCUAUGAACUAAAUCUAAACAAUAAUCACAAAGGACAGAUACCCAUGACCAUAGUUACAGCUCUUGUCCUAUUAUCAAUUUUAAGAGUUAUUUUCUCAGCCUUCUACAUUUUCAUAGAAUCUAUAAAAGUACUAGAGUCUAAAACUCAACUGAAAGAAGAAAAAAUCAUAAGGAUAGUAUUGAGCAAUUUUGACAUGCCUUCUCAAAAUGUAUCUUUAUUGCUUUAGGCUCUCUAGGUAUGUACCUCUGAACUCUUUCAAGAUUCCUUUGUUACCAAUACUUUGAUCAAUUCUGAUUAGAUGCCAAUAUGGUCAUUCAUAUGGUAGUUUACCAUAAACUAUCCAUAGAAACUAAACAAGAAUUGCAUGAUCAAAUCCUCAAGCAAUUCCUUGUGCAUGAUCAUGUCGAGCUUUUUAAGCUCCUAAUUAUCCUUGAUCAUCAUCAAAUAACGAUCAUGGACUGACUGCCAAUCACGCAACUCAUGUGCUGUGCGACUUUG